rfam:Prevotella sp. oral taxon 317 str. F0108 genomic scaffold supercont2.3, whole genome shotgun sequence.
GGGCGCUUAGCUCAGCUGGUUUAGAGCAUCUGCCUUACAAGCAGAGGGUCGGCGGUUCGAAUCCGUCAGCGCCCA